UACGGGAGGCAGCAGUGGGGAAUAUUGCACAAUGGGCGCAAGCCUGAUGCAGCCAUGCCGCGUGUAUGAAGAAGGCCUUCGGGUUGUAAAGUACUUUCAGUCGUGAGGAAGGUGUUAAGGUUAAUAACCUUAGCAAUUGACGUUAGCGACAGAAGAAGCACCGGCUAACUCCGUGCCAGCAGCCGCGGUAAUACGGAGGGUGCGAGCGUUAAUCGGAAUUACUGGGCGUAAAGGGCACGCAGGCGGUUAAUUAAGUUGGAUGUGAAAUCCCCGGGCUUAACCUGGGAAUGGCAUUCAAGACUGGUUAGCUAGAGUCUUGUAGAGGGGGUUAGAAUUCCAUGUGUAGCGGUGAAACUGCGUAGAGAUGUGGAGGAAUACCGGUGGCGAAGGCGGCCCCUGGACAAAGGCUGACGCUCAUGUGCGAAAGCGUGGGGAGCAAACAGGGAUUAGAUA
rnacentral:rRNA from 1 species